rnacentral:rRNA from 1 species
AGAGUUUGAUCAUGGCUCAGAUUGAACGCUGGCGGCAGGCCUAACACAUGCAAGUCGAGCGGUAGCACAGAGAGCUUGCUCUCGGGUGACGAGCGGCGGACGGGUGAGUAAUGUCUGGGAAACUGCCUGAUGGAGGGGGAUAACUACUGGAAACGGUAGCUAAUACCGCAUAAUGUCGCAAGACCAAAGUGGGGGACCUUCGGGCCUCAUGCCAUCAGAUGUGCCCAGAUGGGAUUAGCUAGUAGGUGGGGUAACGGCUCACCUAGGCGACGAUCCCUAGCUGGUCUGAGAGGAUGACCAGCCACACUGGAACUGAGACACGGUCCAGACUCCUACGGGAGGCAGCAGUGGGGAAUAUUGCACAAUGGGCGCAAGCCUGAUGCAGCCAUGCCGCGUGUGUGAAGAAGGCCUUCGGGUUGUAAAGCACUUUCAGCGGGGAGGAAGGCGUUAAGGUUAAUAACCUUGUCGAUUGACGUUACCCGCAGAAGAAGCACCGGCUAACUCCGUGCCAGCAGCCGCGGUAAUACGGAGGGUGCAAGCGUUAAUCGGAAUUACUGGGCGUAAAGCGCACGCAGGCGGUCUGUCAAGUCGGAUGUGAAAUCCCCGGGCUCAACCUGGGAACUGCAUUCGAAACUGGCAGGCUAGAGUCUUGUAGAGGGGGGUAGAAUUCCAGGUGUAGCGGUGAAAUGCGUAGAGAUCUGGAGGAAUACCGGUGGCGAAGGCGGCCCCCUGGACAAAGACUGACGCUCAGGUGCGAAAGCGUGGGGAGCAAACAGGAUUAGAUACCCUGGUAGUCCACGCCGUAAACGAUGUCGAUUUGGAGGUUGUGCCCUUGAGGCGUGGCUUCCGGAGCUAACGCGUUAAAUCGACCGCCUGGGGAGUACGGCCGCAAGGUUAAAACUCAAAUGAAUUGACGGGGGCCCGCACAAGCGGUGGAGCAUGUGGUUUAAUUCGAUGCAACGCGAAGAACCUUACCUGGUCUUGACAUCCACAGAACUUUCCAGAGAUGGAUUGGUGCCUUCGGGAACUGUGAGACAGGUGCUGCAUGGCUGUCGUCAGCUCGUGUUGUGAAAUGUUGGGUUAAGUCCCGCAACGAGCGCAACCCUUAUCCUUUGUUGCCAGCGGUCCGGCCGGGAACUCAAAGGAGACUGCCAGUGAUAAACUGGAGGAAGGUGGGGAUGACGUCAAGUCAUCAUGGCCCUUACGACCAGGGCUACACACGUGCUACAAUGGCAUAUACAAAGAGAAGCGACCUCGCGAGAGCAAGCGGACCUCAUAAAGUAUGUCGUAGUCCGGAUUGGAGUCUGCAACUCGACUCCAUGAAGUCGGAAUCGCUAGUAAUCGUAGAUCAGAAUGCUACGGUGAAUACGUUCCCGGGCCUUGUACACACCGCCCGUCACACCAUGGGAGUGGGUUGCAAAAGAAGUAGGUAGCUUAACCUUCGGGAGGGCGCUUACCACUUUGUGAUUCAUGACUGGGGUGAAGUCGUAACAAGGUAACCGUAGGGGAACCUGCGGUUG